rnacentral:rRNA from 1 species
AGUCCACGCCGUAAACGAUGGAUACUAGGUGUGGGGGGACUGACCCCCUCCGUGCCGCAGCUAACGCAAUAAGUAUCCCACCUGGGGAGUACGAUCGCAAGGUUGAAACUCAAAGGAAUUGACGGGGGCCCGCACAAGCGGUGGAGUAUGUGGUUUAAUUCGAAGCAACGCGAAGAACCUUACCAGGGCUUGACAUCCUACUAACGAGGUAGAGAUACGUUAGGUGCCCUUCGGGGAAAGUAGAGACAGGUGGUGCAUGGUUGUCGUCAGCUCGUGUCGUGAGAUGUUGGGUUAAGUCCCGCAACGAGCGCAACCCUUAUUGUUAGUUGCUACGCAAGAGCACUCUAGCGAGACUGCCGUUGACAAAACGGAGGAAGGUGGGGACGACGUCAAAUCAUCAUGCCCCUUACGUCCUGGGCCACACACGUACUACAAUGGCGGCCAACAAAGAGAGGCGAGACCGCGAGGUGGAGCAAAUCUCAAAAAGCCGUCCCAGUUCGGAUCGCAGGCUGCAACCCGCCUGCGUGAAGUUGGAAUCGCUAGUAAUCGCGGAUCAGCAUGCCGCGGUGAAUACGUUCCCGGGCCUUGUACACACCGCCCGUCACACCAUGAGAGUCGGGAACACCCGAAGUCCGUAGCCUAACCGCAAGGAGGGCGCGGCCGAAGGUGGGUUCGAUAAUUGGGGUGAAGUCGUAACAAGGUAGCCGUAUCGGAAGGUGCGGCUGGAUCACCUC